rnacentral:rRNA from 1 species
UGCAAGUCGAGCGAACAGAUAAGGAGCUUGCUCCUUUGACGUUAGCGGCGGACGGGUGAGUAACACGUGGGUAACCUACCUAUAAGACUGGGAUAACUUCGGGAAACCGGAGCUAAUACCGGAUAACAUUUGGAACCGCAUGGUUCUAAAGUGAAAGAUGGUUUUGCUAUCACUUAUAGAUGGACCCGCGCCGUAUUAGCUAGUUGGUAAGGUAACGGCUUACCAAGGCGACGAUACGUAGCCGACCUGAGAGGGUGAUCGGCCACACUGGAACUGAGACACGGUCCAGACUCCUACGGGAGGCAGCAGUAGGGAAUCUUCCGCAAUGGGCGAAAGCCUGACGGAGCAACGCCGCGUGAGUGAUGAAGGGUUUCGGCUCGUAAAACUCUGUUAUUAGGGAAGAACAAACGUGUAAGUAACUGUGCACGUCUUGACGGUACCUAAUCAGAAAGCCACGGCUAACUACGUGCCAGCAGCCGCGGUAAUACGUAGGUGGCAAGCGUUAUCCGGAAUUAUUGGGCGUAAAGCGCGCGUAGGCGGUUUCUUAAGUCUGAUGUGAAAGCCCACGGCUCAACCGUGGAGGGUCAUUGGAAACUGGGAAACUUGAGUGCAGAAGAGGAAAGUGGAAUUCCAUGUGUAGCGGUGAAAUGCGCAGAGAUAUGGAGGAACACCAGUGGCGAAGGCGACUUUCUGGUCUGUAACUGACGCUGAUGUGCG